GGAUGGGUGGCAGAGUGGUCGAUUGCGCACGCUUGGAAAGCGUGUGAGGUGUAACAACCUCCGCGAGUUCGAAUCUCGCCCCAUCCGCCA
rnacentral:tRNA from 1 species